CCUACGGGAGGCAGCAGUAGGGAAUAUUGCUCAAUGGGGGAAACCCUGAAGCAGCAACGCCGCGUGGAGGAUGAAGGUUUUAGGUUUGUAAACUUCUAUUGUGAGAGAAGAUAAUGACGGUAUCUCACGAAUAAGCACCGGCUAACUCCGUGCCAGCAGCCGCGGUAAUACGGAGGGUGCAAGCGUUAUUCGGAAGCACUGGGCGUAAAGGGUGCGCAGGCGGGCUUGUAAGUCAGAAGUGAAAUCCUGUAGCUUAACUAAAGAACUGCAUUUGAAACUAUGAGUCUGGAGUGUAGGAGAGGUAGGUGGAAUUCUUGGUGUAUGGGUAAAAUCCGUAGAUAUCAAGAGGAAUA
rnacentral:rRNA from 1 species